UUCUAAUUGUAGCUACUGCCCUCUACCGAGUAAUGACCCUCCAAGGAGACAUUAGUGGGUUUAAAUGCGGCUGUGGUGACCUCUGUCUGCCGCAGGGAGAACGGCUCCACUGCUCAGCUCCGGAACUCCCGAAUGGGCGACGUGAGGAGGAUGGUGGCCUAACGGCGAAUACUUUUAUUUUCACAACGUUAUCCUGACAGUGUACGUCGUGUAAUGUUGACAGCCAACCGGACUCAUCAGCAGCUUCACUUUCUUCUGCUUUCAGCGGCUGUCUGCGUCAUCACCACAACGGGCACCCUGACCACCCAGCCGUCUGAUGGAAGGGUGAGGGGAGCCAUGCUGAGGUUCCUCCACAUCCCUUUAACCGGCCUGUUGGGUGUUCUGUGGGAUGGAGUUGCUGCUUUUGGUGGGGUCAGACUAGUGGACGGGGAGAACAAUUGUUCUGGCAGAGUUGAGGUGCUCCGCCAUGGCCGGUGGGGGACUGUGUGCGACCAUAGCUGGGACCUCCGGGAGGCUAAUGUGGUGUGCCUGGAGCUGGGCUGUGGCUUAGCUGAAUCUGCCCUUCAUGGUGCAAUGUUUGGUGCAGGCAGUGGAGAGAUCUGGCUGCGCCAUGUCCAGUGCUCCGGACACGAGGCCAGUUUGACACGCUGUGCUGUCAUUAUUCACAGUAGCACCUACUGCACCCAUGAGAAUGAUGCAGGGGUGAAAUGCUCAGGUACCCUUUUAAUGCCCACCCUCACCCUCCUGUCACCUCACACUGUGCUCUCUCCUGGCGAGGCUGUUCGCUUUGGCUGCAGUGUUUUGUUGGGUCACCACCUCAGUGACUUCCACCUGUACAAGCAUGGAGUGUCUACACCACUGGUUACACAGAGGGCGGACCAGACCCAGACCAAAGUGGAGCUGACACUGUCCGACAUAGAGACUUUCCACCAGGGCAGCUACAGUUGUCUUUACAGGAUCAAGGGCGGCUUCCCCUCUCAGCUGCUGAGCUCCCCACCAAGCAACUCUAUAAACAUCACCGUUGUGGAACUCCUGACUCCCCAACACUGGUACAACACGUCCACCGAAGCCCCGGCUGGUUCCGUCAUUAAAGGCCACAAUUUUAACAUCACCUGCUCCACCCCGCAGCAGUACCCUGGAGGUUCCUUCCAGCUGCGCCUGAUCCGCUCCAACGGCACAGUGCGCCAGUCCCUGCCCGCCCUCAGCCCGUCCGUCACUUUCACCUUUCCCAACGCCCAGAGCUCCAACGAGGGAUACUACUACUGCCUGUAUCGGGUCCAGCUGGGUGGACGCACCUUUGUCUCCAGAGAAAGCCAGCCCCUGCCUAUAGCCAUCAGAGACCCAGAUCCAGUACUGAGUCCAAUGGUGAUCAGCUGGCUUGUGUCCGGCCUGACAUUUGUUGUAGCUGUCAUCGUUUUAAUCAUUGUGGCCAAGGUGCUGUGUAACAACAACAAGAAGAAGCCCACUGAACUGGAGCGAGAGACCAGAACCUGUGUGGAUAACACUUAUGUUGCCUUAUCAAUUAGCAAGCUAUGACGGGGUAUGCAGGCUACCAUAUCACUAAAGUGAAAACUUGCAAGGAGGGGUGAAUGUGUUUUAUAGCAGAAUCACAAGUGAGAGGACGUUCAGGGGGCUCGGACAGCGUCCAUCGUGGAUUCAGUCGGCAGGAGACGUAACGCAGAACCAAACCGCUCGGUCGGUCAUCCAUCCACCUCUGGAAAGAGGCACCCCCUGGACCCAGUUCAGUAGUCUGGAUAAGGCAGUUUUUACUGGACUAACAUUGACCUACAUCACACCAAACUUCAGGCUAGUGGUACUGCUGGGAAAUAAUGGAUGUGAUUGGCUUUAAAGCCUUCUAUUACGAUGAGAUGUGAACUAAAAGCCACAGUAGAUUAUUUCCAGUUCAAUAUCUGUAGGGGUUCCAGCUAGACUUCAGAUUUGGCUACUGCCAUGACACCAGAUGUGUCGAGUGACUAAAAGCUAAACUGGGGAAACUGAUGCAGAUCCCUCAGGUCUGUGUAAAUGCAUUGUAGGACAUUUGUUAUUUAUCACCAAGUAACACAAAAGACGGGCUCCACUAGCUUAUUAUGUACUCGCUUCCACAGAUCAAUGAUCCUUAAAGGAUUAGAAAGUGUUUUUGUAUUUUAAAUCUAACCCAAUGCAUCUUCUGUCAUUUACAAUAUGUAGAUCACUGCACUUGAAGUUAAUAGAAGCUGUAGUUCAUUAAAACGUGCUGUUGUUGGAG